GUGCUUGUUGUUUUUGUUUCUGAAAACCCAGCAGGUCUGAAAGGUGGCCAGUGGAGCUUCCGCUCCUCAGCAGCCAUCCAGCCAGCCCAUCAACCUUCUCUGGAAAGUAGAGAGCCCCGGCCACCUCACGGGGGCUGUGCUCAGAGCCAUGGCCCCUGCUGUCCCACAGGCUCCCCCAGCGUGGCUGCCCUUGGGGGUGGGGUCCCUGGGCAGCCUCUUCUCCCCCGCCCCUCCAACUCUCAGCCCCCAGUCAGCUUGCUGAGGACCCACCCAGCAAUGCCCAGGAUCCACACCUGGCUCGCCCUUACUCCCGCUUGUUGCUCCAGGAGGCACCCGGAAGCCAUGAGUCCCUGCCGGCGAGAGACUGACAGCCCUUUGGGGUGAGGUAGUAGGUUGUAUAGUUUGGGGCUCCGCCCUGCUGUGGAUAACUAUACAAUCUACUGUCUUUCCUGAAGUGGCGUGAUAUCUGCGGUGGACACAGCCCUGGGCCCUGACUGGGACUUGUGGGGGUCAUGGGGGGUCAUGGCUACAGAGCAGCGAGAGGUGCAACCGGCUUGGGAGGCUCUGCGGGUUGGCCCCGCCCACCCCAAGGGUGUCCGUCCUGAUACCUGGCAUCUGCCCAGCCUGCCCCACUAGUGCUAGGCCUCUGGUGAGGGCAGUGGCUCUUCCCGGGCAGGGAAGGCAGCCCAGGGGCCUUUGCCUGAUAGCAUGCGAGAGGGGCACUCACUGAGACCACCCUUGUCUCCACCUCCUGCCCUGCGCCCACCUGGCCCUGCAGUGCCAGUGGCCAAGGCCCACAGGGCAGGGUUGGAAAGCAGGGCGCAGGGCAGGCCCUCCUGGUGGG
rnacentral:lncRNA from 1 species